rnacentral:rRNA from 1 species
AUGAACGUCCACCGGGUUGAACACUGUGCACACAAAAAUUCUGGAUUCUGGAGCAGUUGUCAACACUGUUUUGCUAAUAAAGCAAGGUUUAAACUGUGCAGAUCUCUAAAACCCCAAGCCUCCCCUCCUGUACGGGAUACACAACUUCCACCAUGCAAACCAAUGUUUUUUCUUCUUCUCUUCAUUAUCUCCCCAACCAAACAUUGUGUUCUCACCGGUUGUAGAUUUACAGAUCCCCUUAGGCAAUUUAAACAUAGAGAUAGCAUAUGUGGGGAUUGCUUGAGCCACAGAAAAAAAGUCAAAAACUGCUAUCGAGGGCGCGAUUCGAACCAACGAUCUGACAACUAUAUCUGUUCGCGUGUACGUACAACCUUUCAAACCUUAUUUUCCUAG